UACAGAGGUCUCAAGCGUUGUUCGGAUUCAUUGGGCGUAAAGGGUGCGCAGGUGGCGAGGCAAGUCGGAUGUGAAAUCUCGGAGCUUAACUCCGAAACUGCAUUCGAUACUGCCGUGCUUGAGGACUGGAGAGGAGACUGGAAUUUACGGUGUAGCGGUGAAAUUCGUAGAUAUCGGGAGGAACACCAGUGGCGAAGGCGGCGACCUGGGCCAAUAUUGACGCUGAGGCACGAAAGCGUGGGGAGCAAACAGG
rnacentral:rRNA from 1 species